AUUGAACGCUGGCGGCAGGCCUAACACAUGCAAGUCGAGCGGAUGAGUGGAGCUUGCUCCAUGAUUCAGCGGCGGACGGGUGAGUAAUGCCUAGGAAUCUGCCUGGUAGGGGGGGACAACGUUUCGAAAGGAACGCUAAUACCGCAUACGUCCUAAGGGAGAAAGCAGGGGACCUUCGGGCCUUGCGCUAGCAGAUGAGCGUAGGUCGGAUUAGCUAGUAGGUGAGGUAAAGGCUCACCUAGGCGACGAUCCGUAACUGGUCUGAGAGAAUGAUCAGUCAGCCUGGAACUGAGACACGGUCCAGACUCCUACGGGAGGCGGCAGUGGGGAAUAUUGGACAAUGGGCGAAAGCCUGAUCCAGGCAUGCCGCGUGUGUGAAGAAGGUCUUCGGAUUGUAAAGCACUUUAAGUUGGGAGGAAGGGCAGUAAGUUAAUACCUUGCUGUUUUGACGUUACCAACAGAAUAAGCACCGGCUAACUUCGUGCCAGCAGCCGCAGUAAAAC
rnacentral:rRNA from 1 species